AGUGGCGGACGGGUGAGUAACACGUGAGAACCUACCCUUAGGAUGGGGACAACAGUUGGAAACGACUGCUAAUACCCGAUGUGCCGGAAGGUGAAAGAUUUAUCGCCUAGGGAAGGGCUCGCGGCUGAUUAGCUAGUUGGUAAGGUAAAGGCUUACCAAGGCGACGAUCAGUAGCUGGUCUGAGAGGAUGAGCAGCCACACUGGGACUGAGACACGGCCCAGACUCCUACGGGAGGCAGCAGUGGGGAAUUUUCCGCAAUGGGCGAAAGCCUGACGGAGCAAUACCGCGUGUGGGAGGAAGGCUCUUGGGUUGUAAACCACUUUUCUCAGGGAAGAAUAGAUGACGGUACCUGAGGAAUAAGCAUCGGCUAACUCCGUGCCAGCAGCCGCGGUAAUACGGAGGAUGCAAGCGUUAUCCGGAAUCAUUGGGCGUAAAGCGUCCGCAGGUGGCCUAUCAAGUCUGCUGUCAAAGCGCAGAGCUCAACUCUGUAAAGGCAGUGGAAACUGAUAAGCUAGAGUUCGGUAGGGGUAGCGGGAAUUCCCAGUGUAGCGGUGAAAUGCGUAGAUAUUGGGAAGAACAUCGGUGGCGAAGGCGCGCUACUGGGCCGAAACUGACACUGAGGGACGAAAGCUAGGGGAGCGAAAGGGAUUAGAUACCCCUGUAGUCCUAGCCGUAAACGAUGGAAACUAGGCGUGGCUUGUAUCGACCCGAGCUGUGCCGAAGCUAACGCGUUUUUUCCCGCCUGGGGAGUACGCACGCAAGUGUGAAACUCAAAGGAAUUGACGGGGGCCCGCACAAGCGGUGGAGUAUGUGGUUUAAUUCGAUGCAACGCGAAGAACCUUACCAAGGCUUGACAUGUCGCGAAUCCUGCCGAAAGGUGGGAGUGCCUUAGGGAGCGCGAACACAGGUGGUGCAUGGCUGUCGUCAGCUCGUGUCGUGAGAUGUUGGGUUAAGUCCCGCAACGAGCGCAACCCUCGUUUUUAGUUGCCAGCAUUAAGUUGGGCACUCUAGAGAGACUGCCGGUGACAAACCGGAGGAAGGUGGGGAUGACGUCAAGUCAGCAUGCCCCUUACGUCUUGGGCAACACACGUACUACAAUGGUCGGGACAAAGAGCAGCGACCUCGCGAGAGUAAGCGAAUCUCAUCAAACCCGGCCUCAGUUCAGAUUGCAGGCUGCAACUCGCCUGCAUGAAGGAGGAAACGCUAGUAAUCGCAGGUCAGCAUACUGCGGUGAAUUCGUUCCCGGGCCUUGUACACACCGCCCGUCACACCAUGGAAGCUGGCCACACCCGAAGUCGUUACCCUAACCUUUCGAGGAGGGGGACGCCGAAGGUAGGGCUGGUGACUGGGGUGAAGUCGUAACAAGGUA
rnacentral:rRNA from 1 species